UCUUUGAUUGGGCGGCGGAACACCGUGCCCACAUCGACGCUUGGCGUACCGCUAGCGCCAACGAACGGUACAUCACAGCGAUUCAUCAGGAUAGACAUUUUCACGAGUACCUCUCUUGGUACCAAAGGACUUAUCGGGUCUUCCUGCGGCCUACGUGGACGGAGGAUGACAUAGUGGAGGCUCCAUCGUCCGGGGAAGACAAUGUGUACAACAAGACCACACGAACGGGGUCUCAAAUGGAGCAAGCUCCCGUGCGGGACUGUAUAUCACGAGAGUUGAUGAGAAAUGUCAAUGAAAUUGGCCAUGCACUUGGUUCCCCGAGCGGUGGUCCUGACACGGAGAGCAUUCUCCGUAACGCUCUCGAGAAGGUGCGCCGACGUUGCAGAAAAAUGGUGGCGAGGCUUGGAUGCAAAUCCGUGGGCCUGGACGUGUACGUCCCAUGUCAUAUCCCACCCCGUGCGAGCGGGACGACGCGCCCGCCCCCGCUCACCUUAGCUCGAUCCUCCGGGGUUGAUCCUACGGCGUCAGCAUCACGUGCUCGCAAAGGCAAGGCGGUGCCACCCCCCCCCCCCGAGUGAGGAUGAGGAGGAAGAAGAAGAGGACGAAGAGAGUGAGAACAACGAUGAGGAGUACACCGGUACAGACGCCGAGGAGAUUGGGAUGUCGUAGCUACCGGAUGCCCCACAAGUCUCGCAACAAACCCAAGCAAGGACUCGGAGGGCCUGUCAAGGCACUCAAAGGUACACACCUGGUUCGCAAGCAGUGCGUCGUCGCACUAGGAAGUAGACAGCUGGGAUUGACUUCGGCCACUACUCGGGAUUGACGUGCUUAUCACUAGCGCUAGUCCAUGUUUUCAGGCAUUUGGACCGUAGAUUCAUCGUAUUUGGACCUGUGAACCAUGAUCGAAUGCUCGACUUGUGUGAACCAUUUCGAGUACUACCAAUUGAUGUGUGAACCAAUGUUGUUUUAUGGUGUAUAUUUAUGCAUGUGGUUGAACUACUUGAGAUUGAUUUGUGAACCAUGAUCCUACUAUCUGUGAGAUUUAGUGUUAUAUUGUUCCUUGUGGC